CAUGACAGCAGACUACGUUAUCCUUUUUUUCUAAGUUUCAUAUGUUUUUUAUUAAUCAGUUGAGUAAAAUUUUAGAAUUGUGAAAGAUAUAUGGUGGAUAAUACCAUUGCGCUUGCAAGAAUCAGGAGGGAAUUUAGGGAAGUGCUAAAGUCUGAAGAGACACAAGAUUGUAUUCACAUUGAAUUGGUAAAUGAUAAUUUUAUGGAAUUACAGGGGCAAAUAUCAGGACCUCCAGAUACACCCUACGAAGGGGCAGUUUAUCAUUUAGAAAUCAAGAUACCUGAUACAUAUCCAUUCCAUCCUCCUAAAGUUAAAUUUUUGACGAAAAUUUGGCAUCCAAAUAUUAGUUCUGCAACUGGUGCUAUCUGCCUCGAUAUACUCAAAGAUCAAUGGGCUGCCGCCAUGAAUUUAAGAGUAGUCCUUUUGUCGAUUCAGGCAUUGCUCUCGGCCGCUGAACCUGACGAUCCCCAAGACGCCGUUGUAGCCCAACAAUACAAAUCGAACCCGGAUAUUUUUCGUAUCACUGCGCGCUAUUGGGCCCAUGUGUACGCGCACGGGCCUGACGGAAAUCAUUCUGAAUUGGAAGAGAAAGUGAAAAUACUCAGCGAAAUGGGAAUUGAAAAAAAUCAAGCCCGUUUUGCAUUAUCAUCGUCUUCGUGGGAUGUAUCAGCAGCCAUGGAGCAUCUUUUCUCAUGACAAAUAUAUACUAUAUAACCUAAUCGUGGCCAACUACAAUAUGGUUAAAAAUUCUCGAAUUAUUGCUAUUUUAAAUUGGCCAGGCUUGAAUCAAACUUAAAGAUUAUGGAGGAAAAUACCAGAUUAUUGAAAUUGAUGGCGAUUAAUGAAUUAUUCGGCAAUUAUAAAUAUUUACUAUCUGUGCCAAAAUUUAUAACAGAUAUAUUCUUAUA